GGUGCUUGUAGCUCAGUCGGUUAGAGCAUUGGAUUGUGGUUCCAAGGGUCGUGGGUUCGAACCCCAUCUUGCACCC
rnacentral:tRNA from 1 species